UACGGAGGGUGCGAGCGUUAUCCGGAUUCACUGGGUUUAAAGGGUGCGUAGGAGGGCAGGUAAGUCAGUGGUGAAAUCCCCGAGCUUAACUUGGGAACUGCCGUUGAUACUAUCUGUCUUGAAUACCGUGGAGGUGAGCGGAAUAUGUCAUGUAGCGGUGAAAUGCUUAGAUAUGACAUAGAACACCAAUUGCGAAGGCAGCUUACUACACAGUAAUUGACACUGAGGCACGAAAGCGUGGGGAUCAAACAGG
rnacentral:rRNA from 1 species